ensembl:lncRNA
GGGCUUUCUCUGCAAGCACAACAGAUGCCUGGAAGUGACGUGCCCGCUCCAGAUACUUGUGGGAGGCAAGACUGAAAGGCCCAGCGUGGCUGGUGGUCAGAGCCACAGCGCUGCCAAGCAGCUUCAUCAAAUCUAUGACAUUCUGAAUUUGCAGAAGCUGAGGGGACAGUGAGGCUCUGAAUCUGCAGAAGCUGACUGUCCCUGAAAGCUGAAAGUGAUGGAAACAAGGUUGGGGGCUUUCCAAGUGGGUGCCUGGCGUGGCACGUUCCCUGUAAAACAGAAGCACCUGAACUUCUGUGCAUACAAUAGAGAAGAAGACAGAAGAGUGGAGGGACAGGACCCCGAGCUCUUUUGCAGACCACAGCCUUGUCCCUGAGAUCCAGGAAAACAGAAAGGCGCGGAAAAGAACCGAGUCAGGUCAACUGUUAAAAAUUAUUUAAUAGAAAGUCCAAUGUCAAAAUGUAACAAUAAACAAAAAUACACAUGUAUAAAUAUGUAUAUAUAAUUAGACCUGUACACUUUCUCAGACCCUUUUCAAAUUAAACAGAAUCAUCAUCACAUCUGUGUGGUCAAAUCAAAAAUAAUAUUCAAGCGACGUGGACCCACUGGCGCUGUGGGGAGUAAUAGUACUGCUGAAGCACUUGGAGGGGUCAAAGAAUGUCAGUCAUGAGCGAGUUGGGGAUAUUGCCAAAUGUCCUUUUCUGGAGACCCAGAGAGGGAAGAUGAGCAACCCCACUGCUCUGUACAGUGUAUCUGAUCUUCUUUUAGCACCUACAGCCACUACUAUCUAGGAACAGCUUUCCUAUUGGAUCGGGUUUUGAACUCUCGAAGCUUCUGUGGUUUGAGAGCUUGCUUGCC